GUCCCUGUAGCGCCAAUGAAUUGCGCUUUGGAUUUUAAAUCCAAAGGUCGAGGGUUAGAACCCACCUGGGAUG